UGUGUGUGUGUGUGUGUGUGUGUGUGUGUGUGUUAUGAUACACACACACACGUAAGCACACAAGCAUAUG